rnacentral:lncRNA from 1 species
AAAUAAUAUCGAUUCAAUUAGCAUUAUUCUAUAUGUAAGUACUCCUUCACCUUUCUAGCUUCCUCUUCUUUAGUUGAAUAUUCUGAUCUUAGCUAAAGAUUAUGAGCUAGAAAAAGGUCUCCCCGGUUAUACUUUUCUUCUACUAUUCUCUACACUAUUUUUUGUCUUGGCCACUAAUAUAGUAUCCUGCACUUGUCAGUAAUUUUUGGGGCGGUAAACUUCAUAUAAAGAGAUUACACAUCAAACAACAACCAUUAGUAACGGGUUUGAAAGAUCCAUCAAUAAAUAAAGAGUUUGUUACAGCAAACUCGUAAAGCCUCCCGGUGCACUAUUCUUAGUCGAUAAGUUACAGAAGAUCUACACAAAAAAAACGACAUGUCAAUCUAUGAAAAUUAAUAACUAACAAUAUCCUUAAAUUUUGAAUCCUUUUAAACUCAAAAUAGAAGGCGAAUGGGAGAAUAAGCAUCUUAGGGUGCAAAAAAUGGACGGAAACAGCAAAGGCUGAUCAACCCUAAGAGCAAAGACUUGCAUUGGCGGGACCUAAUUCCAAUAAUCAAUCAGGCUGAUUCACCAAAGAGAAAUGUUGUUAAGAGCCCUAUGAAUUGUGGAUCAAUGGUCAAGUAUUAAUAAAAGGAGUUCAAAAUCUAUUUGAAUCAUUAGAAAAGGUCCACACAAUGGACUUUCACCUACCACCUAACAACCAACAAUAUCUUUAAAUUUUGAAUCUUUUUAAACUCAAAAUAGAAGGCGAAUGGGAGAAUAAGCAUCUUAGGGUGCAAAAAAUGGACGAAAACAGCAAAGGCUGAUUGACCCAAAGAGCAAAGAUAUGCAUUGGCGGGACUUAAUUCCAAUAACCAAUCAGGCUAAUCCACCAAAGAAAAAUGUUGUUAAGAGCCUCGGAUCAAUGGUCAAGUCUUAAUAAAAGAAGUUCAAAAUCUAUUUGAAUUAUUAGAAAAGGUCCACAUAAUGGACUUUCACCUAUCGACCAUUCCAAAGAUAGGCUUAAUGACUGCUCAAAUAAAAUGUUUAUUUUGCUAACAGAAGAAAAGUUAACACCAUUGGUGAUGCAAGAAUAAGCAGUAGAGGUUACUGUUAAGAAAACAAAUCUCAAGUGGGGAGUACCCUUUUUCUGUCACUGAAAGAUGUUAGUCCAUGUAUAUUAAAAGCGUAUUAGUUCAUUAUCAAAAAUCCAACUAGAAAUGGGGGAAAAGAGAGGGAAACAAUCAACAGAAGUAGAAAUGCUUGCAAAUGGAAAAGGGAUAGGAAUGCAAACAGUUCCGUGAUAGAAAAGUAUGUUGUGAGGAUGUCUCGGUUGCACAAACCAUGCUUCUAAACUCAAACUCCUCCCAAUAAUAUAUAAUCAGCUUUUG